UGCGAGCAUGGUAUCGCGCAAUUCAGUCAGGAAUACCAGAUGCGGUGGACGCAAACGUUGAUGCAACUGAGUGCAUGUUCCGACAUCGAGUAAUUGCUAUAAUCGCUUCUAUGUGUUUCGUACUUUGUUCCCCUUUCGAAAUGACCUCGUUCGAGCGACGGAUCGUGCUUUAAUAUUUCACGGUGCAAUGUCCCCUACAUUCCUUGCUCUCUGGCCAAUUGUUUGAUGGAUUCAAAAUUAAGAUGUCAGCGUAGAAUUCCUUUGCCUCAAAGUACUUUUUAUACUAGUCUCUGCAGAUGUAAAUAUAGAAACCUAAUUUUGGUACAGAUACAAAUAUGAAUUAAGAGAUGUAAAUAAUUAUGAAGUAUAAAUUAUUGGUAAUUUGUACCAUUGGCAGUUCAACUGUUCGGGUUAUCAAACUAUUGAUAAUAUUAGGUACUAGGUCAAAGAGAAGGAAGAGACAAUUACGGGAUAAGACUUUACAUAUGUUAUAUUUUUAGAGCUAAUAUUUUACAAUAUAUCUGACUCCAUUUAGAUAAUGCUUGCCUGUUUUUAUAAUGUUUCGUAGAUAUCAUGAAAUUGCAUAGACAUUUUGCGAUAUGAGUUUGCCCGAAAGCGGAUGACGUUAACAACGAAAUUGUUCGAAACAAUCCUACAGGAAGGCUAGCAUUGCGGAUGCGCGAGAGUACUUCCUGUUAUGCUUGAACGGUGCAAUUCAGACGUAUCCAAUAACUCUUGUGUUUUAUUUCAAACCAGACGAGCAGCAAUCAUCGAAGUGGGCUAAGAAUUAUGGGACUCCUCUCGAUGAUGUUGAACUCGGUAUGGCAAUCGUAUUGCGAUUAUCCUUGUCGUGCAAAAUACAGCUUCUCGUAGAAAAACAUCAAGUAAAAAAAGAUCGUAAUACGACGAAGUCGUACAAAUCUGCAUAGAUCGAAGAAAAUUUUACAUUCUUUCGAAAUAAAAUAUAAAUGAACAUGUAGAAUGUAUAUCAUAUUAAUUUUAUAUCGUGCCACAACAAUCGUACUACGUUCGAUGAAAAGGAAAUCUUAAUACCGAAGUCACCAUAAACUAUCAACAGCUGGCAUUCCGCGAAUAUCACCAUUACAACCUACAACAUCUUAUCACGUCAGUCAGAAUCAUCGUAUCCUCCAUUCGACGUAAUCGCGAACGUACAGCAUACACAAUAUCCCUUCAUCUGUAUGCAACCUCGAGGAGGAAAAGAAGAAACCUUAAUCAUACAUCUCGUUCCAUCAAAUUCCUCGGACUAUGGCCGGGUA